rnacentral:rRNA from 1 species
GUACACUCCUGCGGGAGGCAGCAGUGGGGAAUUUUGGACAAUGGGCGAAAGCCUGAUCCAGCCAUGCCGCGUGCAGGAUGAAGGCCUUCGGGUUGUAAACUGCUUUUGUACGGAACGAAACGGCCUUUUCUAAUAAAGAGGGCUAAUGACGGUACCGUAAGAAUAAGCACCGGCUAACUACGUGCCAGCAGCCGCGGUAAUACGUAGGGUGCAAGCGUUAAUCGGAAUUACUGGGCGUAAAGCGUGCACAGGCGGUUAUGUAAGACAGUUGUGAAAUCCCCGGGCUCAACCUGGGAACUGCAUCUGUGACUGCAUAGCUAGAGUACGGUAGAGGGGGAUGGAAUUCCGCGUGUAGUAGUGAAAUGCGUAGAUAUGCGGAGGAACACCGAUGGCGAAGGCAAUCCCCUGGACCUGUACUGACGCUCAUGCACGAAAGCGUGGGGAGCAAACAGGAUUAGAUACCCUAGUAGUCCCAUG